GCUCACUUUGGCAGAACAUGUACUGAAAUUGGAACAAUACAGAGAACAUUAUCAUGUCCCCUGCUCAAGGAUGACACUAUAUCUUCUAGAUAAAUUCAUAUAACCU